rnacentral:lncRNA from 1 species
GAUUUCUGGAGGUAAAUAUGCCUCUUGACCUCUUUCCAGAUCACUGCUACUCCAACCCCUAGAGGGUAAUUGUUUUUCUUCCCCGGUGAGUGAAAGCUUGUCAAAACCUUCCACCACAUCGACUUCCGCGUAGAUGACAGGGGCACCUAGAUCCCUUUACACCCAAACAACAGCACAAAGAGAAAGAGAGGAAGCUAAAGUAUGGGUUGUUUCCUUCCUUCUUCCCCAAAAUUUCCUGAGUUCACAGGCAUAUACAUCAUGA